GUGGAAACUUCAUAUCCUUGAACUGCGUACCUAUGUCUCCUAAAUAUGUCGCGACAAGACUUCCCUGCGGUGUAGUUUCGACCUUUCAAGAAAACAGAGAAAAUGACAGGUACUUGCUGAGAGCCAAUACCAAUACCGCGCACCAAAUACGGCAUGGAGCAUGGUGGGGACUCCUUGGACCUUACUCCAACGCGUGAUUUGAUCGGCCAUGAAGCUGGCCCGUGCAUGUUUAGGCCUUUUACCAAACAACCACUGUCGAUACCGAAUGGAAUCGUGAUCUUGGAUGAUUCCACUGGCAACAUCUUAAUCCCCUCGUGCAGAGCGGAGUGAAGUGAUUGAGCAGGAUAGUUUAGCAGAAUACUUGUGUAGUUCGUGGAGGAGUUUGCUUCAAAAUACAUGGUGACACAUAUUUUGGUGAAAUUUCUGAGCCAAUAUCCGGGAAGUUUGAAUUCACCUCCCUCCUUUACUGAUCGAUAUGAAGCUUGGCUGGUCCAGUGGUGAGAAUCAUAGCGCAAGAUGCUCUAAAAGGAUCUCUGGAACAUUUGUCCCUCUUGUGAUGCAAAGAGCAUUUCUUUGAGGCCAUGUCAAAUAUCGCUUCAUUACAACGGUUAUCUCUAUCACAUCGUAAUGCACACGCCAGUUCAGAACCAGCGCGGAACCCUUGAACGCCGAGAGAACCUCCAAGCGGAUCUUUCAGGAACGAAUAUUUGAAGUAAGAAGAUGAAUGCUGCUUUGGAUAGGAACAGCAGGCAAA